AACGAACGCUGGCGGCAUGCCUAACACAUGCAAGUCGAACGAAACCUUCGUGUCUAGUUGCGCACGGCUGCGUGACGCGUGGUAACCUGCCCUUAAGUUCGGAAUAACUCCCCGAAGGGUAUCCUAAUACCGGUUAAUGUCUUCCGGCCAACGAGUUAUCGCGUUUGGGUGGGCGCGUGUUGGAUUAGCUGGUUGGUAGGGUAAAAGCGUGCCAAGGCGACGAUCCAUAGCUGGUCGGAGAGGAUGAUCAGCCACAAUGGCAAUGCGACACGGCCCAGACUGCUACGCGAGGGAGGAGUGGGGUAUAUUGGACAAGGGGCGAAAGCCUGAUAACGCCACGCCGCGUGAGUGAUGAAGGCCUUAGGGUUGUAAAGCUCUCUUACACGAGACGAUAAUGACAGUACCGGGAGAAUAAGCACCGGCUAACUACGUG
rnacentral:rRNA from 1 species